AUUUCUUGUUCUCCCUAAUUAGAGUUUCAUUUCUCUAAUUUCAAGGCCUAGUGUUCUCUCCCCAAGACGCUCAAAUCCGAUUUCUGCUGGUGGAGACUCUGGAUGCCCUAAAGGGCGUCUUGUUGUAAAAAUGGCCCAAUCUAAAUUGCACGGCUAGACUGGAGGCUGUAUUUAUAGGCAUUAAGACUGAUUACCCUCAUCGUCCUCUUCUUCUGAGUCCGGUGCCUCGUUAUCAUCCUGGUCAAAUCCAUCUAGGUAAGUGAUUUGCUGCAGCAGUUCAAAAAUACUUUCUCUGUAAUCCUCCAGGUUUGUGAUCUCACAGUUAAACAAGUCAA